rnacentral:tRNA from 1 species
CGGGGCGUAGCGCAGCCCGGUUAGCGUGCUACUUUCGGGAAGUAGAGGUCGGAGGUUCAAAUCCUCUCGCCCCGACCA